UACGUAGGGUGCAAGCGUUGUCCGGAAUUAUUGGGCGUAAAGAGCUUGUAGGCGGUUUGUCGCGUCUGCUGUGAAAUUUCGGGGCUCAACCCCGAACUUGCAGUGGGUACGGGCAGACUAGAGUGUGGUAGGGGAGACUGGAAUUCCUGGUGUAGCGGUGAAAUGCGCAGAUAUCAGGAGGAACACCGGUGGCGAAGGCAGUGAUCUGGGCCAGUACUGACGCUGAGGAGCGAAAGCGUGGGGAGCAAACAGG
rnacentral:rRNA from 1 species